rnacentral:rRNA from 1 species
AAUGGGCGCAAGCCUGAUCUAGCCAUACCGCGUGAGUGAUGAAGGCCUUAGGGUCGUAAAGCUCUUUCGCCAGGGAAGAUAAUGACUGUACCUGGUAAAGAAGUCCCGGCUAACUCCGUGCCAGCAGCCGCGGUAAUACGGAGGGGACUAGCGUUGUUCGGAAUUACUGGGCGUAAAGCGCACGUAGGCGGACCAGAAAGUAUGGGGUGAAAUCCCGGGGCUCAACCCCGGAACUGCCUCAUAAACUCCUGGUCUAGAGUUCGAGAGAGGUGAGUGGAAUUCCGAGUGUAGAGGUGAAAUUCGUAGAUAUUCGGAGGAACACCAGUGGCGAAGGCGGCUCACUGGCUCGAUACUGACGCUGAGGUGCGAAAGCGUGGGGAGCAAAUAGGAUU